rnacentral:rRNA from 1 species
AGAGUUUGAUCCUGGCUCAGGACGAACGCUGGCGGCGUGCUUAACACAUGCAAGUCGAACGGUGAAGUCCCUUCGGGGGCGGAUCAGUGGCGAACGGGUGAGUAACACGUGGGCAAUCUGCCCCUCACUGUGGGAUAACUCCGGGAAACCGGGGCUAAUACCGCAUAUGAAGCCUGGCGGCAUCGCCGGGUUUGGAAAGUUUUUCGGUGAGGGAUGAGCCCGCGGCCUAUCAGCUUGUUGGUGAGGUAAUGGCUCACCAAGGCGACGACGGGUAGCCGGCCUGAGAGGGCGACCGGCCACACUGGGACUGAGACACGGCCCAGACUCCUACGGGAGGCAGCAGUGGGGAAUAUUGGGCAAUGGGCGAAAGCCUGACCCAGCGACGCC